rnacentral:sRNA from 1 species
GCUGGGCGUGGUGGCGCCCGUCUGUAGUCCCAGCUACUCAGGAGGCUGAGGUGGGAGGAUCACUUGAGCCUGGGAGGCAGAGGUUGCAGUGAGCCGAGAUCAUGCCACUGCACUCCAGUCUAGGCGACAGAGUGAGACUCCAUCUCAA